GGGCCCGCACAAGCGGUGGAGCAUGUGGUUUAAUUCGAUGAUACGCGAGGAACCUUACCAGGGCUUAAAUGUAACGGGACAGAUCUAGAGAUAGAUCCUUCUUCGGACUCAUUACAAGGUGCUGCAUGGUUGUCGUCAGCUCGUGCCGUGAGGUGUCAGGUUAAGUCCUAUAACGAGCGCAACCCCCAUCGUUAGUUGCCAACGAGUAAUGUCGGGAACUCUAACGAAACUGCCGGUGCAAACCGUGAGGAAGGUGGGGAUGACGUCAAAUCAUCACGGCCCUUACGUCCUGGCUACACACGUGCUACAAUGGUCGGUACAGAGAGCAGCCACUACGCGAGUAGGAGCAAA
rnacentral:rRNA from 1 species